rnacentral:misc_RNA from 1 species
GCUCAGUAUAUGAGAAAGCAGAAGAUUCAACCGUAGGUUUCCACCCACCAAGUACAGUUGCAUCUGGCGAAGAUGAAGGCAAAACAGUAGGCCGUGGACGCUUGUUCCUCUGUGUAGGCUGAGUGCUUAGAGGGUUAGAAGCAACAAGUGGCUCCAAUUCCCAAGCAGACACCUUAUCUGGACGCAAGAUAGAUGAAGGUUCAUCCCAUUGCACCUUUAACGAUCGCCACUCAGAAUUCGCCCAUCCAGGUGACGCAUUAUCU